rnacentral:rRNA from 1 species
GGAUUAAGAGCUUGCUCUUAUGAAGUUAGCGGCGGACGGGUGAGUAACACGUGGGUAACCUGCCCAUAAGACUGGGAUAACUCCGGGAAACCGGGGCUAAUACCGGAUAACAUUUUGAACCGCAUGGUUCGAAAUUGAAAGGCGGCUUCGGCUGUCACUUAUGGAUGGACCCGCGUCGCAUUAGCUAGUUGGUGAGGUAACGGCUCACCAAGGCAACGAUGCGUAGCCGACCUGAGAGGGUGAUCGGCCACACUGGGACUGAGACACGGCCCAGACUCCUACGGGAGGCAGCAGUAGGGAAUCUUCCGCAAUGGACGAAAGUCUGACGGAGCAACGCCGCGUGAGUGAUGAAGGCUUUCGGGUCGUAAAACUCUGUUGUUAGGGAAGAACAAGUGCUAGUUGAAUAAGCUGGCACCUUGACGGUACCUAACCAGAAAGCCACGGCUAACUACGUGCCAGCAGCCGCGGUAAUACGUAGGUGGCAAGCGUUAUCCGGAAUUAUUGGGCGUAAAGCGCGCGCAGGUGGUUUCUUAAGUCUGAUGUGAAAGCCCACGGCUCAACCGUGGAGGGUCAUUGGAACUGGGAGACUUGAGUGCAGAAGAGGAAAGUGGAAUUCCAUGUGUAGCGGUGAAAUGCGUAGAGAUAUGGAGGAACACCAGUGGCGAAGGCGACUUUCUGGUCUGUAACUGACACUGAGGCGCGAAAGCGUGGGGAGCAAACAGGGAUUAGAUACCCUGGUAGUCCACGCCGUAAACGAUGAGUGCUAA